UGGUGGAGGAUCAAAGGCCUCCUCGAGACGUGCAGCGGUCCCAUAGGGAACUCCACUAUCAUUCACGUUAAUUAAUUAAAGGGUCGUCCGGGGAAGUGCAUGUGAGGCUUGG